rnacentral:tRNA from 1 species
GAGGGUAUAGCUCUGUGGUAGAGCGUGUGCUUAGCAUGCUUGAGUUCCUGGGUUCAAUCCCUGGUGCCUCCA